rnacentral:rRNA from 1 species
UACGGAGGGUGCAAGCGUUAUCCGGAUUUACUGGGUUUAAAGGGUGUGUAGGUGGGCAGGUAAGUCAGUGGUGAAAUCUCCGGGCUUAACCCGGAAACUGCCAUUGAUACUAUCUGUCUUGAAUUUCCUGGAGGUAAGCGGAAUAUGUCAUGUAGCGGUGAAAUGCUUAGAUAUGACAUAGAACACCAAUUGCGAAGGCAGCUUACUACGGGAAUAUUGACACUGAGGCACGAAAGCGUGGGGAUCAAACAGG